rnacentral:rRNA from 1 species
GACGAACGCUGGCGGCGUGCCUAACACAUGCAAGUCGUACGGGACUAAGGGGGCAACUCUUUAGUUCAGUGGCAGACGGGUGCGUAACACGUGAGGAACUUGUCCAACGGUGGGGGAUAGCCGGCCCAACGGCCGGGUAAUACCGCUUACGCUCGUUUGGGGGCAUCCCUGGACGAGGAAAGCAGCCGCAAGGUUGCGCCGAUGGAGAGUCUCGCGGCCUAUCAGCUUGUUGGCGGGGUCACGGCCCACCAAGGCGACGACGGGUAGCUGGUCUGAGAGGAUGAUCAGCCACAUUGGGACUGAGACACGGCCCAGACUCCUACGGGAGGCAGCAGUGGGGAAUAUUGCGCAAUGGCCGCAAGGCUGACGCAGCGACGCCGCGUGUGGGAUGACGGUCUUCGGAUUGUAAACCACUGUCAGGGGGAACGAAUACCAGGCGUCGAAUAGGCGACCUGGGGUGACGGUACCUCCAAAGGAAGCACCGGCUAACUCCGUGC